UACGUAGGUGGCAAGCGUUAUCCGGAAUUACUGGGCGUAAAGCGCACGCAGGCGGUUCUUCAAGUCUGACGUAAAAGCUCCUGGCCUAACUGGGAGAGGUCGUUGGAGACUGAGGGACUUGAGGUGAUGAGAGGGGUGUGGAAUUCCCGGUGUAGUGGUGGAAUGCGUAGAUAUCGGAAGGAACGCCGGUGGCGAAAGCGAGUCGCUGGAUCUCUUCUGACGCUGAUGCGCGAAAGCCAGGGGAGCAAACGGG
rnacentral:rRNA from 1 species